CCCGGGCCUUGUACACGCCGCCCGUCACACCAUGGGAGUUGGUUUUACCUUAAGACGGUGUGCUAACCCGCAAGGGAGGCAGCCGGCCACGGUAAGGUCAGCGACUGGGGUG
rnacentral:rRNA from 1 species